rnacentral:rRNA from 1 species
CUGAAUAUGGGGGGACCAUCCUCCAAGGCUAAAUACUCCUGACUGACCGAUAGUGAACCAGUACCGUGAGGGAAAGGCGAAAAGAACCCCGGCGAGGGGAGUGAAAAAGAACCUGAAACCGUGUACGUACAAGCAGUGGGAGCCUCUUAAUGGGGUGACUGCGUACCUUUUGUAUAAUGGGUCAGCGACUUAUAUUCUGUAGCAAGGUUAACCGAAUAGGGGAGCCGAAGGGAAACCGAGUCUUAACUGGGCGUUAAGUUGCAGGGUAUAGACCCGAAACCCGGUGAUCUAGCCAUGGGCAGGUUGAAGGUUGGGUAACACUAACUGGAGGACCGAACCGACUAAUGUUGAAAAAUUAGCGGAUGACUUGUGGCUGGGGGUGAAAGGCCAAUCAAACCGGGAGAUAGCUGGUUCUCCCCGAAAGCUAUUUAGGUAGCGCCUCGUGAAUUCAUCUCCGGGGGUAGAGCACUGUUUCGGCAAGGGGGUCAUCCCGACUUACCAACCCGAUGCAAACUGCGAAUACCGGAGAAUGUUAUCACGGGAGACACACGGCGGGUGCUAACGUCCGUCGUGAAGAGGGAAACAACCCAGACCGCCAGCUAAGGUCCCAAAGUCAUGGUUAAGUGGGAAACGAUGUGGGAAGGCCCAGACAGCCAGGAUGUUGGCUUAGAAGCAGCCAUCAUUUAAAGAAAGCGUAAUAGCUCACUGGUCGAGUCGGCCUGCGCGGAAGAUGUAACGGGGCUAAACCAUG